rnacentral:rRNA from 1 species
CUCGUGUUCAAGCUGGAUUUCGCCAAGGCAUUCGACUCGAUCGACUGGGGGGCGCUACGCCGGAUCCUCAUGGCGCGCGGCUUUCCCGACCGGUGGUGCGCCUGGAUGGACCUGAUCUUCGAGUCCUCGCGGUCGGCGGUGCUGCUGAACGGCGUGCCCGGGAAGUGGUUCACGGUGCGCCGGGGGCUGCGGCAAGGCAACUCGUGCUCGCCCUACCUCUUCCUCAUCGUCGCCGACGUGCUGCAGCAGAUGAUCAGGCAAGAUGGGGGGUUGUUCCACCCCCUCAUACAUGGUGAGCCCCCUAGUGCUGCAAUAUGCCGAUGA